UACGGAGGGGGCUAGCGUUGUUCGGAUUUACUGGGCGUAAAGGGCGCGUAGGCGGCCUGUGCAAGUCAGUUGUGAAAUCUCCGAGCUUAACUCGGAACGGUCAACUGAUACUGCUCGGCUAGAGUGCGGAAGGGGCAACUGGAAUUCUUGGUGUAGCGGUGAAAUGCGUAGAUAUCAAGAGGAACACCUGCGGCGAAGGCGGGUUGCUGGGCCGACACUGACGCUGAUGCGCGAAAGCUAGGGGAGCGAACGGG
rnacentral:rRNA from 1 species